AGUAAAGAAGCGAAGCUAAGCGGCGCUGGUGAAGCGGCUCAUCAGGUCUAUCAGGAAACCUGAGAAUUGGAGUGAGAAUCCCAGUGUGGAAAAUCAGGAAAGAGGCUGGUAUGAGCGACAGAGAAGUCAUUCAGGAAAGAGGUUAUUGAAUUCAUUGGAGAAUGAAUGCUGUUCUGAAUUUGUUUACCUCAACAAAUAGCUUACACCUCCAAUCCUGUCUUGGCGUGCCCUGCUCAGAAGACACAAGACACACCAGGAGUGACGUGAGGAAACAGGCAGUAAAGAUAAGCCUUUGCGACUGGGUUACUCAGACCCUCCCUGACAAGGAGGAGCCCAUCUUGAGUGUCCCAGGAGACCUGGACCUUGUGGACAUCCUGCAGAAUGGCAUAUGGAUCCAUUACAAUGAUGACAUCAUGCUGACUGGGCAAGAUGACAAGAGGUUGCUAUACACCAGAGGGCUUGGGAAGACACAUGCCCUGCAGAAGCAAUGCAAAAAAAUGCUAGGUGACACCUGCACAUGCAGUGGCUACAUUACAGAAGAGACUCUGGGCUGGCCAGAAGCCUGGGAGUAAAAACACUGAAAGAUUGGUGAGGAGUCCUGGGGUAGAGGCAUGUCAAUGGACAUAUAGCAUUAAGCAUUAAGUGUCAAGAUUGCUGCACCACACUUUAAUACCCACUAAAAGUAAUGGGUGUUACUUAUAAUCCUCACAGAAGAGGUACUGAACAACCAAGUAGACAAAAUGAUGCAGCCAGCUGCUAUUAGCCAGUCUUUGUUAUCAGCUUUCUCUGAGCUGGCAGGAUAAGCACAUGAAUGGAAUCGCCACAGGGACAGAGAUGGAGGCUGUGUAUGGACCCAAAACUGCUGGCUUCCACUUGAAAAGGCUGAUCUGGAUACUGCUGCCUUUGAAUGCACAACCUGUUGGCACUAGUUCUUAAGGAGCCCAAUGGACCAUUUGGUGACAAGUCACUUACACUGGGUCCCUGCCAUCCUGGAACAGUCAGCAGUUCACAGAAAAACCUGCUCCUGAUUACAAGGAUAUGUCGAUUGCAGGGAGGCAGAGGAAGAAAUACAACAGGAUGUCUAUCGAACACAACUUUGGAGUAAGACCUUGGGACCCAACUCCUGUUUGCUUCAUAUACAAGCUUUGAGACGUGAUGAGUUUGCCUCGAUUCUCUAAGCCUCAGUUUCCUCAUCUGUUGUUGUGAGGGAAAUAAUGCAUGGAAAGCUUUUAACACAAUGGCUGGCACACAGUGAAAGUGCAAGACGUUAACCAUUAUCAUGAGAGUUUUCAAUUGGAAUGAAUAGGAGACUUAAAUUUGCAUGAUUGUACUUUUACACUAAGCCAUUAAUGAUGCAUUCAUUUAGUUUUCUACUCCCAAAGAACAUAGAUUUGAUUAAUUAUAACAAGAAUUUAAAAAUAUUUCCAUUAUUCAGAAAUAACCUACAGAGUCUAAGCCUGUCCUUUCCUUCCUCCCUUUUUCCCAA
rnacentral:lncRNA from 1 species